rnacentral:rRNA from 1 species
UGGGGAAUUUUGGACAAUGGGCGAAAGCCUGAUCCAGCAAUGCCGCGUGUGUGAAGAAGGCCUUCGGGUUGUAAAGCACUUUUGUCCGGAAAGAAAUCCUUGGCUCUAAUACAGUCGGGGGAUGACGGUACCGGAAGAAUAAGCACCGGCUAACUACGUGCCAGCAGCCGCGGUAAUACGUAGGGUGCAAGCGUUAAUCGGAAUUACUGGGCAUAAAGCGUGCGCAGGCGGUUUGCUAAGACCGAUGUGAAAUCCCCGGGCUCAACCUGGGAACUGCAUUGGUGACUGGCAGGCUAGAGUAUGGCAGAGGGGGGUAGAAUUCCACGUGUAGCAGUGAAAUGCGUAGAGAUGUGGAGGAAUACCGAUGGCGAAGGCAGCCCCCUGGGCCAAUACUGACGCUCAUGCACGAAAGCGUGGGGAGCAAACAGGAUUAGAUACCCUGGUAGUCCACGCCCUAAACGAUGUCAACUAGUUGUUGGGGAUUCAUUUCCUUAGUAACGUAGCUAACGCGUGAAGUUGACCGCCUGGGGAGUACGGUCGCAAGAUUAAAACUUAAAUGAAUUGACGGGGUCAUAGCUGUUUCCU